CAUAGGUUGGAUAAUUUGACACUUCAUCGGUACCAUUUUGCUCAAUAAAUUCACGCCAUCAAGCACCAGUAUUACUUUCUCAAUUCCAUUUACAAGCCAUCUUUCGAUGUCAGUUAUUCUGGAUGCGAGGAAAUAUUCUCUUAAGAUGACAUAUAUUGACAUGCUCUGACAUUAAUGACCAACAGCCAGAACUUUGGAGUCAUACGUACUAGCAAGAACUAAUGAUAUAACAUCCGUUUGCAUCACUUUACUUACAAAUACUACUGGGGUCAAACAGAAUGUCAUAUAAAUCGACAACGAGGUCAACUCAUCUGCAUUUGAUACUACAGCAGUGCACUGAGCAAUGAAUACAUCCGAUGACGUUGAUUUGAAAACAGCACAACUAUGCUCCCCAUCUGUGGAAAGAAUGGUCCUUUCAGUUCCAGCUACAAAUUCUACAUACAGAGGAUGUCUAGAUUCCCAGAAAAGAACGGUACAGAAGUAAUUUUGUGAAAUGGAAAGUCGCAGACAUCAUUAAAGAAGCAGAUUAUCCUGAGCAGACAUCUGCGUUUAAUGGGAACAAUUGCGCAACGUCAUUCCCCAUAAGAAGAUUGACUGCAUUUACAGCUAUUGGCAAAUAGUACGGAGAGCAGCUGUCCAGACGGCCAGAAAACAUUUUAUUGUUUGACACAGAAGUAAUAUCGGCUGGAUAACUUUUGACACUUAAUAGAUACCAGCUUGCGUGAUAAAGGUAUGCCACCAACCACAGUAUUUUCUCAGUUUCGUACACAUGCCAUCCAUCUAUAUCACUCUUCCUGGAUGCGAGGAAGUAUUCGCUUAAGAUACGUCUAUGUAUCCAAAGGCACAAUAGACAUGUUUUGCCCGAAAUGACCAUGGCUCAACAGG